CACUGCGGUAUCUUGCUCUUGGGCGAACGCCUGACGCAGCAACGCCGCGUGCGGGAAGAAGGCUUUCGGGCUGUAAACCGCUUUCAGCAGGAACGAAAAUGACGGUACCUGCAGAAGAAGGAGCGGCCAACUAUGUGCCAGCAGCCGCGGUAAUCAAAUC
rnacentral:rRNA from 1 species